GAAAUGCGAUAAGUAGUGUGAAUUGCAGAAUUCAGUGAAUCAUCGAAUCUUUGAACGCACAUUGCGCCCCUUGGUAUUCCAUGGGGCAUGCCUGUUCGAGCGUCAUUUGUACCCUCAAGCUCUGCUUGGUGUUGGGUGUUUGUCCCGUCUCCGCGCGUGGACUCGCCCCAAAGUGAUUGGCAGCCGGCGUACUGGUCCCGGAGCGCAGCACAUGUCGCGCAAACGAGUGCCUUGGUACGGCGGCGUCCAUCAGCCCCUCUCUCACGCUCUUGACCUCGGAUCAGGUAGGGAUACCCGCUGAACUUAAGC
rnacentral:misc_RNA from 1 species